UAAGAAUGCAAUUCCAAUUUCUGUCACAUCAUCCCCCUUCAGAGUGUCUUGGAUGAAAGUAACUUCAGCAGCCAGAUGUAUCUGAAAAUAAUCACUUGAUUACAUGGCCCCUUUCCUUCUCCUCCAAACCUACAUCAGUUUUAUAUCAGUUAACAGGUAUGUAAAAAUGGUUUAUUUGUUUUUUGCUUACAGCGUGCUCAGUUUCACACUGGGCAUCUUAUGACUUUAUACGGGCUUAUCACCUCAUUUUCAUAACCAUAAUAAGAUGGGAAAGAUUGUGCCCAUUGUAGGCCUGGAUUGCAUUCCAAUCUGCAGUAGGGGUACUAAAUGCAUAUAGAGCGCCACUGUCAUUCUUUAAGAACGAGGGAGGUGUUCAUGUUGAGUUUCAGCACCUCUUUUUCUAGAAAAAUAGCACUACCUACCACUAAGGAGGUUUAAGCUGGAUGCUCAAGUUUGGACUGCAUGGCUGAACCAAGUUAUCAUUUUGUUUCUAUACAAAUAAUUUAGGAACAGACACCAUUUUGGAACCAAGGUUAUACUGCCUGUCUUUUCUUGCUGCUGUAUGGAUAAUCACACAAAUCUGACCUUUGAAGAGUUUAAUAACUCCGGCACUUCUUCACAGAGGAGCGAGCCAAGAAGUCUUCAACUAACCUGAUGCCAAUGUUAUACCCCCUGGAGAAAGAGAGAACAAAAAGUCAGUCGUGCACAUUUGAUACUUCUUUGAACAUACAGAGGCAUUUUUGGUCAAUUUCCUGAUCUCUAGCCAACCAACUCUCUGAAUGACUCAGAUGCUCCAAACCCAAAGGUAUAGCCCUGCUGACAAGGUCCCUCCCAGGUGUCUCUAAGCAGAAAAACCAUGUGACUGAUUGGGUUGCUGGAAAGGCGGCCCUAGUAAGAAAGCUCUUGUUACUUCUGUUGUUAUUUAGGCCUAUCCAGUACAGCCACUACAGAAAAAAUGAGUGGAGUUAGGACUGCUUCAAGAACAACAUUAGCCACCAUAAUCAUACACUGGUUCUGAGCACGGUUGGAGCUGUUUCCCUGAAGGCCAGAGAAACAACAGGGAGUGUUUUCUACUUUGAAUCCAUUUUUGUUUGUUAGUUUAACACAGGCUUCCUCAACCUCGGCCCUCCAGAUGUUUUUGGCCUACAACUCCCAUGAUCCCUAGCUAGCAGGAUCAGUGGUCAGGGAUGAUGGGAACUGUAGCCUCAAAACAUCUGGGGGGCUGAGUUUGAGGAAGCCU